rnacentral:rRNA from 1 species
AGAUUGAACGCUGGCGGCAGGCCUAACACAUGCAAGUCGAGCGGUAGAGAGGUGCUUGCACCUCUUGAGAGCGGCGGACGGGUGAGUAAUGCCUAGGAAUCUGCCUAGUGGUGGGGGAUAACGUUCGGAAACGGACGCUAAUACCGCAUACGUCCUACGGGAGAAAGCGGGGGACCUUCGGGCCUCGCGCCAUUAGAUGAGCCUAGGUCGGAUUAGCUUGUUGGUGAGGUAAUGGCUCACCAAGGCGACGAUCCGUAACUGGUCUGAGA